rnacentral:rRNA from 1 species
CAGUCGCCGCGGUAAUACGGAGGGUGCAAGCGUUAUCCGGAUUUAUUGGGUUUAAAGGGUCCGUAGGCGGACUUAUAAGUCAGUGGUGAAAGCCUGUCGCUUAACGAUAGAACUGCCAUUGAUACUGUAAGUCUUGAGUAUAUUUGAGGUAGCUGGAAUAAGUAGUGUAGCGGUGAAAUGCAUAGAUAUUACUUAGAACACCAAUUGCGAAGGCAGGUUACCAAGAUAUAACUGACGCUGAGGGACGAAAGCGUGGGUAGCGAACAGGAUUAGAUACCCCGUAGUCCCUGUCUCUUAUACA